GGGAGGCGCGCGCGCGGGAGGGCCGGGGCGAAGGACGAGGCCGCCCCGUCGCCUCAGGGCCCGGCCGCCUCCUCCCGCGGUCUCCGUGAGGGGCCGGGCCUUCCUCUGUAGGCCGCGGGGCUGAGGGGGUGGCCGGGCCGAGCCCGGCGCCGGUUCACCGCCUGCGGGCUGCCGUGGGCCUCGCUGAGGAGGCGCCUUCACCCGCCCUCCCGGCAGCCCCCGGCUCCCUCUCCCCGCCGAGGCCUUCCGACAUCUCUUCUGUCUUUUCUGCAGAGGUUUUCCCAGGCCACGAUUAUGAGUGACCAAAUCCAGUUCAUUGUUGAGAAGCUCAAUCAGGAGCCCUUCAGGAAGAACUACAAUUUAAUCACGUUUGACUCCUUAGAGUCAGUGCAGCUGUUGCAGCUGCUCAAUGAUGUUCUGGGGGAGAUUGACCCAAAGCAUGCUGUUGACAUUAGAGAGGAGCUGCCAGAACAAACAGCUAAAAGAAUGUUGAGUCUUCUUGGUAUCCUUAAAUACAAACCCCCAGGAAGUAUAUCAGAUUUGAGUGCAUUUCGCCAAGGGUUAGUUACUGGAAGCAAACCUGUAAUUUAUCCUGUCUUACAUUGGCUUCUUCAGAGGACCAAUGAACUCAAGAAAAGAGCUUACCUGGCACGUUUCUUAGUAAAAUUGGAAGUGCCAGCGGAGUUCCUACAGGAUGAUACUGUGGCUGACAUCAACAAGCAGUAUGAAGAACUGAUGGAAGCAUUUAAAAACCUACAUAAGGAGUGCGAGCAGCUCAAAACAUCUGGUUUAUCUACUGCAGAAAUAAGAAGGGACAUCAGUGCAAUGGAAGAGGAGAAAGAUCAACUUGUCAAAAGAGUAGAACGUCUUAAGAAGCGGGUGGAGACAGUACAAAAUCAUCAACGAAUGCUUGAAAUAGCAAGACAGCUUCGCUUAGAAAAAGAAAGAGAAGAAUCUUUGGCUCAACAGAAACAAGAACAAAAAAAUCAGUUGUUCCAUGCAGAGCAGAGACUGCAAAGAGCACAGCUCCAGCUGAAAGAGAUGCAUCACGCAGUAGUGGAUUCAAAACCUGAAAGUUUAAUGAAGAAACUAGAAGAGGAGAUAAAUUUCAAUUCAUACCUGGUUACUGAAAAAUUACCUAGAGAGCUUGAAAGUAAGAAGAAUUCAGCAUAUUUCUUACAAAAAGUGGUUGCGGAGCCAGCUAUGAGUCAAUCUGAUCUCAAUGUACUUGAAAUCAAGAUAAAUGAAGUAAAUGCACAAAUGAAUCAGCUUAUUGAGAAAAGAAUGAUGAAGUAUGAGCCAAUUGAUAGUAAAUUUUCCAUGUAUCGCCAACAGGCAUCUAUAAUUUCCCGGAAAAAGGAAGCCAAGGCAGAAGAACUUCAGGCUGCUAAGGAAGAGAUGUCCAGCACUGAAAGGCAGAUGCUACAGAAGACCAGUCAGGCCCAUGAGUUAGAAGGCUCUGAAGUUCUGAAAGGGGAUGAGUUUAAACACUAUGUUAAUAAGCUCCGGAGCAAGAACACAUUUUAUAAAAAGAAGCGCCUGGAAAUAGCAGAAAUUACAGCUGAGUAUGGUAUCCUCCAGAGGACGGAAGAACUUCUAAAACAGCGCCACGAGGCUAUUCAGCAGCAGUUGCAAUCUAUUGAAGACAAGAAAGGCAUUUCUGGAUAUAGUUACACCCAGGAGGAGCUGGAAAGAGUAUCUGCAGUAAAGAGUGAAAUGGAUGAAAUGAAAGGCCGAACACUAGAUAACAUGUCUGAAAUGGUGAAAAAACUCAACACUAUGGUGGCAGAGAAGAAGGCAAGCCUAGCUCCUGUUAUCAAAGAACUGAGACAGUUGCGUCAGAAGUGCCAGGAAUUAACUCAAGAAUGUGAUGAAAAAAAAAUCCAAUACGACAGUUGUGCAGCGGGGUUAGAGAGCAAUCGCUCUACGCUGGAACAGGAAGUGAAAGGACUUUUUGAAGAGUGUGCUCAGGAAGAAAGCAACUACCAUUAUAUUAACUGCAUGAAAAGGAAUCUAGAAAUACAGCUGCAGCGUGCUAAAGAAGAAAUGAAGGCGUACGUCUCCCCAGACCCACAGGAGAGACGGAAGGCAAUUAGAGAACAGUAUACACGAAUAAUCCUUGAACAAGAAAACCUUGGGAAGAAAUUACGAGAGAAGCAGAAAGCUGUACGGGAGAGUCACGGGCCAAAUAUGAAGCAAAUUAAAAUGUGGCAGGAUUUUGAGCAGUUAAUGGAAUGUAAGAGAGAAUGUUUUCUGAAACAACAAAAUCAAACAGCCAUUGGUCAAGUCAUUCAGGAAGGAGGUAAAGACAGGCUUGUAUUAUGAAUUCUUCCUGCUACCAACAUAAAGCAGGAAGACGCUGUGUUGGCGUCCUAAAGGUAACCUCUUACUAAAUAUUGUUGCUUUCAUUAUUUCUAUGUAAAUUUUUUUGUACAUUAUUUGGUUUUGGUGGAUAAACAAAAAGCAACUAACCACUCUGCGAAGCUUUUCCUCUGUCGUUUCAGUGACAACGUACCGUGGUUAAGGGGGAGGUCUGUUAUGGGAGCUGCACUAGGGUGAACCUCAUCGUAAAUCUUUGGUUUAUGAGGCUGGGAAUGGCACGCAUCUGCAGAGAGAUCAAAGGAAAAGAAAUCCUUCUCUAGGGUCACAGAAAACUUAGCAGUAGGUUUCCUGCUGAAGGAACGCUGUUAACUCUUCGGCUGCCUUUCUCUACUGCAGUCCCUACUGGAAACAGAAUUGAAAUUUUCAUGGACGUGCCAGUGUUCCAGUGAGGAAGUAUUACACAAAUCGACAAUUUUAUCACAAGGCUGAUGAGACUGCUCAGGUAUCGGCACGAGCGAGCCAGGAACCAGGGAGAGAUCCAGUUAACGUUCACAGGACAGUAAUGAGAAUCGGGCAUUUAUUAUUUCGUGGGCAAUGACAACAUCAUCUCAAAAUUAAGUCUCCUUAGGAAAACAUCUCCCACAGCUAAUAACUAGAAAGCAAUCGGAAUUCUUCUGACAAAGAGGAGGAGCGUGGCAUACUUCAUAGUGGGUUUUUACUGUUGUGCUUACUGUGCCUUUUCUGGUUUUAUAUUUACUACUCAGUACUUCAGCCGUUUGUGUGUGAAAUGCAACCUUUGAAAAUCUAUAUACACUGAAGGUUCUUUUCUGCUUGUUGAUUUGACUGAAUGAAGUCAAGGCUGAUCAUGAAAUACACCGAGAGGGAAAGAGAGAACUCAUAUAAUGGAAAAAGCACUAUAAAUAUUUUCCUGGGAUCGUUAACACAACCUUGUAACACUUCACCCUGUGUAGCGGAAAAAUUGUACAAUCCUUCUAUGAAAUGUCUAGAAAGUGUUUACAAUUCCAUCCCAAACUAAUGUGGCUUUUUUUUAAGUGUAAAGAAAACAUCCCAUAAUUCUUAAUUCUGUUAUCAAAGUUAUUUUCAACCUUUGAAGGGAUUCACUUGCUAGUGACUUGGCAGUGUCAAACAAAUGUUCAACUUUUAUUCUGACACUUCUUGAAGAAUUUGAUUGAAACUAUAUAUGUCUAGAUAACACCCAACAAAGUGCCCCUCUUGCGUUUGUUUCAAGAUAUUUUUGGAAACAACAGAGGCGACCUUGGAUGGAGCUGCUUUUCCAAUUUAGGACUUCAUUUGGUCUAAGAGAGUAAAAUUAUACUCUUUAAUCCUUUUGUGUACCCACAAAUGAGACAGAUUUAUUUUACGCUAUUGUAGAAUUGUUUUUCUGUACCUUCUUCGCAGUGUCAAUCUGUUUAGGAUAAGAAUUAUUUUCGGUAAUUAGGAGUUACUUUCAAAUGGACAUAUAAAUAGUCCUUCGAUGUAUCACACGUCCCUUAAAAAUAUUGCGUAAUCUAAAUGAACAGUGGUCCUUUCUGUAAUACCUUUGCUUCUUUAGAACUGGGGCUAAUAAAUAAGCGUUAGCCUUUGUCUUGGCUGAUAGACGUGAGGCAUCUGAUUUCACGCCAGAGCUCACACAGACUUGAUGUAAAGUCUAAAUGAGGAGGGUGGUAAUGCUGGCGAGGGCUCUGCGAUGGGGCUGCCACCUGUCCAGAUCACAGCAGAAAUAUUGUUUGUCGAGCUUCAAGUUUAAAAGCCAAGGUUAGGAGCCAGGGUCUCUGUGCAUCUAGAAUGGGGUGAUUGUUUUCUUCUGACUUCGGUUUGCCAGCUGUGCAGUUGUAGCUGUAAAAUUCUAUUACUUCUAAUCACUGAAGAUGUUUUAAAUAGUUUGCACUUAAUUUUCUAUAUAAUCAGUAUAUUUUAUUUCAUUUGUAUUGCUCUCUGUUAUAGGCAUACUGCAUUUCGUAACAAAAUGGAGUUAGUCUCUUGCAAUGAUAAUGCAGUUUCGCUGCUGUGAAUAAAAACUGCAUUGACAGAGCACAAUGUACUUGUCAUUUAUCCUGUACAGUAUUUGCUCUCUUCAAUAAUAAUGUUGUCCAGUGUUACCUAAUGAUCAAAUACAAAGUAUAAUAUGGAAACUAAAUCUAGACGCGCCAGUAGAAUCUGUUUGACAUACGUGGUUUAUGGAAAUACAUAUGUAAAUAUACUAUUUGGGAGUAUACUUUUUAUAUUCAUUUCAUCGCAUUUAGCGUCAAUGCAUAUUUCUAUAGCUCUAUUAUAUACUUACUAUGGCUGAUGGCUCAAGUUCUAACUCUAGAACAUCCAGUUUCCUGAUUUUAUGGCAUUUUCAUGUCAAGUAUUUGUGGACAGCUUAAGAGAAGCAACUCUGAUCCUGUGAACCUGUACGUAUGUGAGCAUGACUACAUGGGCGUAUGCACAAAUCAGGUCAAAAUAAACUAUUUGGUAUAGCAACUUUCAUCACAGAAUCUCAAAAUAAUUGACAAACAACUCUUAGUAGAGUCUGUUGACUGUGUAGCCAGAUAAACAAGCGGCUGCUAUUUAUAUUAUUUUCUAGACGAACAAACCACGAUAGGGAAUGAAACAGAAGCAAAACUGGGAAUCCAGUCCUCGUCUCUGGGCUGUGGACUCAGGGCAUGCCCGGGGUUCCCAACCUGAUC